CUCCAGCCUGUUAAGAUCUUCAGCAGAUGUUUGAGAAAAAAGUCAUCAUCCUCUUCGUCACACUUCAUCCGUAUUUGGGGUAACAAGCACCUGCUUCCCACAAGAGACUGGACCGCUGAAGUCAGACCUGCACCUUCCUUGAACAUGUCGGUAUCUUACUCUGUAUUUGUUCACGGUGGUCACCCCAGGGUCUCAGGACUCAAAUUGAGUGCUCUAUGGAUUAAACAGAAAAU